GUCCCAAAUUUCUUGUCUUAGAUUUUUCUAGAUACGGAUGUAUCUAAUACUAAAAUGUGACUUGAUACAUCCGUAUCUAGACAAAUCUAAGACAAGAAUUUUGGGACGGAGGGAGUACUUU
rnacentral:pre_miRNA from 1 species